rnacentral:rRNA from 1 species
UACAGAGGUCUCAAGCGUUGUUCGGAUUCAUUGGGCGUAAAGGGUGUGUAGGUGGCGCGCUAAGUCGGGUGUGAAAUUCCGGAGCUUAACUCCGAAACUGCAUUCGAUACUGGCGUGCUUGAGGACUGGAGAGGAGACUGGAAUUCAUGGUGUAGCAGUGAAAUGCGUAGAGAUCAUGAGGAAGACCAGUGGCGAAGGCGGGUCUCUGGACAGUUCCUGACACUGAGACACGAAGGCCAGGGGAGCAAACGGG